UGCACAAAAGAUUGCUGCUUGGAAUUCUCAGCUGCAAACCCUCUCUUGGUGCUAGAGGCCUACACUGUUAGCAAGAAUUGGGGAAGGAACAGGAGAUGCUCCCUCAUAACUUUUAGCCCAGUGGUUAGGAUAUGGGAGGAAUUUGGUCCAAGUCCCCACUCCUCCUGAAGGCAGGGAGGAGGAAAUGGAUUUGAACAGGGUUCUGCCACCUCUCAGCCUAAAAGAAGUCAAUGAAAAUUACCAAUGGCUGGAAGAGAGACACAAAGGGAUUUUGGACUGUCAAUGGAUUUGUGAGAUGAUGGUUAUAAGAAGAGGCAAAGCAAUCUGGACCAAUUAUAAACAUGAAGUUUGAUCAGAACUCAAACAAAACAUAAGACCAGAAAAAGUUUAGUUGAUAUUUCUGCUUAUCAUUCCAUUGGCGUACCUAUCUGUCCAUCUUAGAUAUUACUAGAGCAGUCACCAUAUUCUCUAAAUGCUAAAUGCACCUCUGCAUUUUCUGGCUCUAGCUGACAGCAGCAAUGCUAAAAUACCACAAAAAUACUAUUAUCAUUUCAUUCCCUGGCUAAUUUUGUAGAUCCAAGAAGGGUUCCGUUUAAACGUGGUUCAGACAUUUGACUGCUUCCCCUAACUAAAUUGUUGUACUGUCUUGAGUUCACCUACCAGUAAAAACUGAACACACUUCAGACACCUA